rnacentral:lncRNA from 1 species
AGAUGCUUACUGAAAGCGGGUUUUAAUAAAGGAUACAUACACGUGACCUCAAAAUGAUGGCCUGGAGGCGCACAGCAAUGAUGAAAUCAGAGGUUGGGAUAAUCAUAGUCUGAGCGAAGUGUUAAAAAUCUAAAUAGGCACUUGGUAGAGAAAAAUCCAUUUAAAAUGGCAUAAGAGAAAACAGUGUUGUAAUAUCAGAAUGAUUUGAGCAAUUUGAGAACAUAAUUAUGACCUUAGGAAGCGGCAUAUUUUCUAGUUUGUUCUUUUCAGUGGCUGCGGAGUGCCGUCUCAUCACCAGCACGCUGGUAUCCUCAGCUCCCACAUAUUGAUCUCAAUAGCGUUUUUCCUUAGCGGUAUCCAGGGCUCAUUCAAAGAAGCUGGGUCCAUGUCUGGGACCAGGGGGAACAUCAGAAUGGCCUGAGACAUCUUGCGAUGGCCAGAAAACCAGGCUGCAACCCAAAAUGCCUGGCUGUUGCUAAAAGAACAAGGGAGUUGGCUGAAAAGGAAAGGGGUCCCUCUGGUCAGGUUGUAACAACUUGGAGAUCACAAAAAAUAACUAGGGCUAUGGUUGGCGAUUUAAAAGAACAAGGGGUGGAGUUCCCGUCGUGGCUCAGUGGUUAACAAAUCCGACUAGGAACCGUGAGGUUUCGGGUUCGAUCCCUGGCCUUGCUCAGUGAGUUGAGGAUCUGGCGUUGCUGUGAGCUAUGGCGUAGGUCUCAGACGUGGCUCGGAUCCCGUGUUGCUGUGGCUCUGGCGUAGGCUGGCGGCUACAGCUCCGAUUCGACCCCUGGCCCGGGAACCUCCAUAUGCCAUGGGACAGCCCUAGAAAAGGCAAAAAGACUAAAUAAAUAAAUAAAUAAAUAAAUAAAUGAAAGAACAAGGGGAGUCUGUGAAAAGCCAUGAGUCUUUAAUGAUCAAAAAGGAAAAUUAAUAUGUGUAAUGACAAAUCUAGGUGUAAUUCAAAGAAAGGAUUUUUAAAAAGGAUGUUUCAGUAAGUAGGUAAGUUUGGCAUAUAUGGGAUUCUGUUUCCUAACUGAAGUUCAGUAUAUCUGAUUAUGAGUUGAAAAGAGCAGGUAAGUUUAUUGUGAAUAAGUCAAAGAUUUCCAGAAGUGAAGGAACUGUACCAAAAUGAGGAAGGGCCAGUCAAGACCGUGAUCUCCGAAAUAACCAGGUAGAAAGAGGGCUCAUAACUGGUGGUGCAAGUUAAUGGAUUAGCCAGAUGUCCUAGGAGAACGGCUGAUAGAUUCAGCUUCUCUAUGACCCUGUAAAUGACACGGAAUGCUAAUGAGACAUAAUGAAGUGAAUUGUAAACCGAGGCAAAACACCAUGUACCCAAAAUUCAAUGGACGUGGAAGUGAAGCUGUGUGACCUCGGGCAGGUGAACCCUCACGCCGUGGUAAAUGUCCACUCUCCCGGCCUGCCUUCUCCUGGGGACGACGGCAUCUGGCUCAUCCUCUGGGGAUUCCCUGGCUCCCACGGAGUGAUUUUUUUGCAGCGCUGUUAUUGACAGUGCGAUUAAGGCAGGUGAGCUUUGUGGCUCUGGGGCAUGGAUUCCUGGGCCCAUCAGUAACUGGGGGCGAGUUAGAUUAGGUAGCUUCCCCUGGGAUGUCAUCCAGCUCCCUGUUCCAACACCAGAGCUGGCCAAGCCGCCAGGCCUCCAAUUCUGACCUAUAAGUGAAGGUUUUCUUGCAAACAUGAAGCUCCGUUACUCUGCUUGUAAAAAUAUCAUGAUUAACAGCAAAGCCUGUAUUGACACAUGCACUGAGGCACGUGGCAUGACUGCCCAUCGGGGACCUACUGUCCAGCACGGGGAACUAGGCUCUAUAUUCUGUGAUCAUCUACGUGGGGAAAGAAUCUGAAAAAGACUGGAUGCGUGUAUAUGUGUAACUGAACCUCUUUGUUGUACGGCAGAAAUUAUCACAACCUUGUAAAUCAACUAUACUUCAAUAAAACUUAAAAAAUAAAAAUAGGCGUCCCGGUCGUAGCUCAGUGGUUAACGCAUCCGACUAGGAACCAUGAGGUUGGGGGUUCAAUCCCUGGCCUUGCUCAGUGGGUUAAGGAUCCGGCGUUGCCGUGAGCUGUGGUGUAGGUCGCAGACACAGCUCGGAUCACACGUUGCUGUGGCUCUGGCGUAGGCUGGCGGCUACAGCUCCGAUUGGACCCCUAGCCUGGGAACCCCCACAUGCCAUGGGUGCGGUCCUAAAAGGUCAAAAGACUAAAUAAUAUAAAUAAGUAAAAAUUUUUUAAAAGAGCAGUGCCCGUAAAGCUUGGCAGCCUAAGUCCAUAACCCUGGCUCCACCUUUAGAAACUAGUACCCUGGGCAAGUUCUAAAACUUGCAGCUUCUCAUCAGUUUCCCCAUUCAUUAAAACAAAGGUGACAAUCUCUACUGCACGGGCUUAUAUUGAGAGGCUGAAAUGAAUUAACACACAAGAGCUAGGUUUUCUUUUCUUUCCUUUUGUGGCCACUCCUUGGAAUAUGGAGUUCCCUGGCCAAGGAUCAGAAUCAAGCCGCGGUUGCGACCUAAACCACAGCUGUGGUAACAACAGAUCCUUAACCCACUGUGCCCACCCAGGGAUCAAACCUGUGUCCCAGUGCUCCCUCCCAAGAUGCCAUCAAUCCUGUUGAGCCACAGUAGGAACUCCUAGCUAGGCUUUCUUUUAAAGAGAAGUCAAAGCAGUGUUCCUACCAGACUCUGUGGAAUUUGAUAUCGCACAAACCUCAUUAGUAUUUGCAUUCUCUCCACCCUGCCUUCACAUGUUGACAGUGUUUGGGUGAGUUCAAUGAGGCUGGUCUCUGCAAAAUUCAAGUAGCAGAGGCGCCUGCCAACCAGAUUUGCUGACAGACUUAGGUCCAGGAGAAAGCAAUGAGCAGUCUGGCCUGGGAGUCGCAUCCUGUGAACGAAAUAAAACCUGAGAAAGCUGAGGGCGAAACCUGCAUUCCCCCAUCCCAUCACCCUCCUCCAGGGACCAGGCUUAGGCCCGGCCUCGACGCCUCCCUCCCCUCCGUCACCCUCCCGCCCCAGAUGAGGUUCAUCAGGGCGACGUUUCCCAUGACUCUUGCCUUUUUAAAAUGUGCUUGGCUCAGGUACAAGCUCCCAUGGAUGCUACAGGGUCCCCCAGGCACCCAGUCCACUCUCCCUGCCUGCUUCCUGCCAGAGCUGGGAAUAGAACAGGAGACCCUUGAUGGGUCUUACCUGGAACAUCGUGGCACUCAGAAACUAUUUGUUGGAGGAAGAGAAAUUGAAUAAAUAAAUGUCUCCAUUUUCUACCGUCAGCAGAUAAACGUGACAGGAACAUUUAGGGGAGGGGGACGUCCCCUGCUUAGAAAUGUAUGUGGACAUCUUUGCAGGGGUUCCCGAGUUUAACACAGAACGUUGGUAUUAAAAUGACCUUAAAGAUCAUGAAAUCAAACCUCUUUAUUUUACAGAUGGGGAAACUGAGGCCCAGACAUGCUAAGCCUGUUGUUAACCAGGCAACCAGGAUGGUGAAGGCAUGUAAAUCCGUGUUUUCUGAUCCACUUUAAAGAAGCUGGGAGGUCCCCACUGUGGCGCAGCAGUAACAAACCCAACUAGUAUCCAUGACGAUGCAAUCCCCGGUUCAAUCCCCGGCCUCACUCAGUGGGUUAAGGAUCCAGCUUUGUGGAUCUGUGACCUGAGAUGUAGGUCACAGAAGCGGCUCGGAUCUGGUGUUGUGGAUGUGGCACAGGCUGGCAACUGCAGCUCUGAUUCGACCCCUAGCCUGGGAACUUCCAUGUGCCACACGUGCUGCCCUAAAAUGCAACAACGACAACAACAAAGUAAGCUGGAAAUGUUUAGUUCUCUUUCUCUGGAGAAGAGAGCAUUAAGUGGGGGCGUGCAUGUUAAAUUUUUUAUUUAAUGCACAGCAGUGACAACGCCUAGCCCUUAACCACUAGAUCACCAGGGAACUCCACAUGCUGAUCUUUAAAAGUCCAAAAGGCAACAAUAUGAAGAGUUUCUUAAGGAAACAAAGUAUUCAAAGAUGAAACAGUCACCCCCUGAUGCUGAGAAGUAACUUCUAGAGAGAAAAGAAGCACCAAAAGGGGAGCAAAGAAAAUGGCCAAAAUGAUAAAAACAGAAAAUACAAGUGCAGGAGGAUACAGAGCAACCAAAACCCUCAGACACUGCUUGUGGGAGAAAUAAUGGCACAACCGCUUUGGAUGACUGGUGGAUGGUUUUGAGAAGGUUAAACUUAACGUCUACCCUGUGAUUUAACAAAUUCACUCCCAGGAAUAGACUCAAUGGAAAUGCACACGCGUUUUUCACUAAAAGACAUACGUGAGAUGUUCAUAGCAGAUUACUAACAGCCCCAACUUGGCGACUCCACAAAUGCGCCUUAACGUUAAAAUGAAGAAUUAGGUUUUAGUACAUUCACACAAUGGAAUGCUGCACAGAAGUCCAAAACUUAUUCCGUAACGCACUAGAAAAUACCUUCAGCUUUGUGUCCAUAUGGUCUUUCCAACUUUUGUCUCUGCAGUACAAUGCAGCCAUAGAUAGUGCAGAAUUGCGUCCGCAUGCAUGACUGUGUUUCAAAAAAAAAAGCAAAACUGGGAAUUCCCUUCGUGGCUCAGCAGUUAACAAACCUGACUAGGAUCCAUGAGGAUGUGGGUUUGAUCCCUGGCCUCGCUCAAUGGGUUAAGGAUC